rnacentral:rRNA from 1 species
GAUGAACGCUGGCGGCGUGCCUAAUACAUGCAAGUCGAGCGAACGGACGAGAAGCUUGCUUCUCUGAUGUUAGCGGCGGACGGGUGAGUAACACGUGGAUAACCUACCUAUAAGACUGGGAUAACUUCGGGAAACCGGAGCUAAUACCGGAUAAUAUUUUGAACCGCAUGGUUCAAAAGUAAAAGACGGUCUUGCUGUCACUUAUAGAUGGAUCCGCGCUGCAUUAGCUAGUUGGUAAGGUAACGGCUUACCAAGGCAACGAUGCAUAGCCGACCUGAGAGGGAGAUCGGCCACACUGGAACUUAGACACGGUCCAGACUCCUACGGGAGGCAGCAGUAGGGAAUCUUCCGCAAUGGGCGAAUGCCUGACGGAGCAACGCCGCGUGAGUGAUGAAGGUCUUCGGAUCGUAAAACUCUGUUAUUAGGGAAGAACAUAUGUGUAAGUAACUGUGCACAUCUUGACGGUACCUAAUCAGAAAGCCACGGCUAACUACGUG